rnacentral:rRNA from 1 species
GACGAACGCUGGCGGCGUGCCUAAUACAUGCAAGUAGAACGCAGUUGCGAACGGGUGAGUAACGCGUGGGUAACUGCCUCAUAGCGGGGGAUAACUCUUGGAAACGAUAGCUAAUACCGCAUACUGUGAGAUGGACCUGCGUUGUAUUAGCUAGUUGGUGAGGUAAAGGCUCACCAAGGCGACGAUACAUAGCCGGCCUGAGAGGGUGGUCGGCCAACCUGGGACUGGGACACGGCCCAGACUCCUUCGGGAGGCCGCAGUAGGGAAACAUCGGAAAUGGACGGAAGUCUGACCGAGCAACGCCGCGUUAGUGAAGAAGGGUUUCGGAUCGGAAAGCUCUGUUGUUAGAGAAGCGGUACCUAAACAGAAAGGGACGGCUAACUACGUGCCAGCAGCCGCGGUAAUUC